rnacentral:tRNA from 2 species
CGCGGGGUGGAGCAGUUCGGUAGCUCGCUGGGCUCAUAACCCAGAGGCCGCGGGUUCAAAUCCCGCCCCCGCAACGA